rnacentral:tRNA from 1 species
GGGGGAGUCCCAUAGCGGCAAUUGGAGCGGUUUCCAAAACCGUUGGUAUAUCCUUCAUAGGUUCGAGUCCUAUCUCCCCCG